GGCCGACAUUGAACCUGACAGAUUGGGUCGUUUAAAGAAAAAGCAAUUUGCUAUAUUGAAAGAGACAGAUUAAUAAAAGUGUUAUUAUUGUUCAUAUAAAUGUGACUGGGGUUAAUGAUAAACGUCAACUAAUGCAUGGUAGUGUUGAUAUUUAUGAAGAAAACGAUUCCUGGAAAUACGAAUGUCAAACGCUUGAAAAUUUUGACCAAUGUAACGUUAAGAUCCCGUGUCAAUUACAGAAUUUAAUAUUGUUGGUGAAGUAAAAGGGGAUAAAGUGGCUUUAUGCUUGUGUGAUGACUGUAGCCAUGUGAACGGGUUAUCGUACGGCAAAACCCAUCACGUAAAGAAGAGUCUUCAACUUUUCAAGAAAGGAAUGCCUUGUUUUGCUAUCAACACAAAGCUCGGAACAGGAACCAAUGAUCAACAACAUUUGUGGUCCAGGAACGGUUAAUUACUUUUUGUCAACACUUUUGUUCCAAUGAUCAAUUGAAAUUGAACUUAAAGAAAAUGGAAAUACAUGUGGGAAGGACCAUUCAUCGAGUUUCAACUAUCUCCUUUAUAGCAGACAGGCUUAUAAGAUGGAAACAAAUGAUAUGCUGUUUACCUGUGCAGGAGGAAAAUGAAACCAGACAGAUUAUUGACUCAAAUUCAACGCAGAAAAAAAGCUAGGAACUUGCAGUCACUGAGUGUUCUUGUUUACAGUCAUGUGUUCAAUGCUGCAACAACAUAAAUAUUAUAGCUGGCUCUAGACUCAACCUUAUGCAUCUUAAAAUGAUCUUUGAACGCGAUGGUCUCAAGAACAUUUUUAUAAUGAAUAACUAUGUAACACACGAUGUAAUACAUGACUGUGUUGAAACAUGGAAUUCAUAUCUUAAGUUACCAUUGAUGAAUGCAUAUUUUGUAGUAUGCAUUAAAAUGUAUUUUUAUGCCGUUUUACGUGCACUAACAAUCUAUCUUAAUACUUACAUACUUGUAAUAUACACAUUUGAAUACAGGACGGAUUUAUUGUUCUUAAGUGGAAUUAUUGCAAAAAUAGACGGACUUGGAACAGAAAAAUCUCAUAUAUUUGGACAGAUGAUAACACGGGACUUCAGUUCACGCGCUUGUAUUAAGCCUCGUUUUCAUACGACAUACAUGGUGCAUAGUUUUUUUUUAAUGUUUAUUGAAUAAAGGGAGUUAUUGAACACGUUAAUGAACAUAUUACACGAAUAUUUCAGUAUUGUCCCAAUAAACCAGGUGUGGUUUUACUAAUAUGUAUUACAUAUAUUUAAUGUUACAGUGUAUAAUAUUGCUUAAUUAAAAAAAAAUCAUCAUGGACAAUUUAAUCAGAUUCCAUAAGUGUAUAAUUUGAUUCUAUUUCAACGAAAUGUUUGCAUUAAUUAAAUACAAUUGUUUUUUUUUUAUUAUCAUG